rnacentral:lncRNA from 1 species
CUGUUAGUUAGGGUUUAAUUAUUGCCAGAGUUUGCUUUAUAUGAUUUUUAAUUAAAAUUAUGAUUGUGAAUGCGGUCGAUAAUAUUAUUAUCAUGUUCUUACUGAUAGUAAUUGAUGCUCGGAGAUCUUUUAUUUUGUUUUUUCCUUAUUGUUAUUAGUGUUUAGGGUUUCGUUUCGUUCUUAUAGCGUAGUACUUUCACUCUCUGAGUCUUAUUAUUAAAUAUUAUUACUAUUACUAUCAUUCUUAUUGUUAAAUUAAUUUAUGUUGCUAUGAAUCAUUACGGAUCGAUUAUUCUGC